AUGCACUCUCUGCCCAGUGAUUUAUUAAACGGCCGCGGUACUCUGACCGUGCAAAGGUAGCAUAAUCAUUUGUCCAUUAAUUGUGGGCUAGAAUGAAUGGGUCAACGAAAUAAGAGCUGUCUCAAUAAGAACUUAUAUAAACUAUUCUAAAAGUGAAGAAACUUUUAUCUUAUUAAAGGACAAGAAGACCCUAUAGAGCUUUAUCUCCCACAAUAUCCUAUUGCUAAAGAUUCGGUUGGGGCAACCUCUGAAAAAUCAUCUCAUUAUAAUUUAAGAUAAAUAAAUCAUUCCAUUGAUCCAUUUAUGAUCUACAAAUCAAGCUACCUUAGGGAUAACAGGCUAAUCCUUCUUUAGAGUCCAUAUCAACAGAAGGGAUUGGCACCUCGAUGUUGGCUUAGAAUCUCUUUUUGGCGCAGCAGUCAUUCAAGAGGGU
rnacentral:rRNA from 1 species